ACUUGGCUGGCUCACUCGGUAGAGCAUGUGACUCUGGAUCUUGGGGCUGUGAGUUCAAGCCCCACGUUGGGUA
rnacentral:tRNA from 1 species